rnacentral:rRNA from 1 species
CCCAUAGAUGUUCUGGGCCGCACGCGCGCUACACUGAUGCAUUCAACGAGUUUCUUCCUGGUCCGAGAGGAAUGGGUAACCUUUUGAAAGUGCAUCGUGAUAGGGAUAGACUAUUGCAAUUAUUGGUCUUCAACGAGGAAUUCCUAGUAGACGUAGUUCAUCAGACUGCAUCGAUUACGUCCCUGCCCUUUGUACACACCGCCCGUCGCUCCUACCGAUUGAAUGCUCAGGUGAGCCAUUCGGACUUUCAUCAUGCUGGUUUCCAGUUUUGAUGAAGGAAAGUCUUGCGAACCUUAUCAUUUAGAGGAAGGAGAAGUCGUAACA